GACGAACGCUGGCGGCGUGCUUAACACAUGCAAGUCGAACGCUGAAGCUCAGCUUGCUGGGUGGAUGAGUGGCGAACGGGUGAGUAACACGUGAGUAACCUGCCCCCUUCUUUGGGAUAACGCCCGGAAACGGGUGCUAAUACUGGAUAUUCACUGAUCUUCGCAUGGGGGUUGGUGGGAAGGUUUUUUCUGGUGGGGGAUGGGCUCGCGGCCUAUCAGGUUGUUGGUGGGGUGAUGGGCUACCAAGGCUUUGACGGGUAGCCGGCCUGAGAGGGUGACCGGGAACGUUGGGACUGACAUACGGCCCAGACUACGACGCGGGGCAGCAGUGGGGAAUAUUGCACAAUGGGCGAAAGCCUGAUGCAGCGACGCCGCGUGAGGGAUGGAGGCCUUCGGGUUGUAAACCUCUUUCGCUCAUGGUCAAGCCGCAACAUUGGUUGUGGUGAGGGUAGUGGGUAAAGAAGCGCCGGCUAACUACGUG
rnacentral:rRNA from 1 species